AUGUUUAACAUUACAAGUUGGAGCAAAGCCCAGCCAUGCUAUAUGAAUCAUGAAAUUAUCUCUCUUGUUUCGACUUUGGGAAUAAGAGAUGGGAUAUUUGUGUUGAUGCAACAAGAUGACAAGCAUGAAUUAGCUGAAAUGCUGACGACAAGAGAAGCUGCUCUCUAUAUUAUGGGGAAAACUGGUAGUGCCGAAACGAAGACAACAUCUAAAAAUGUUACUGCGAGGUUAUGA
rnacentral:rRNA from 1 species